rnacentral:rRNA from 1 species
UAAUACGGAGGGUGCAAACGUUGUUCGGAAUUACUGGGCGUAAAGGGCGCGUAGGCGGCCUAUCAAGUCAGGUGUGAAAGUCCACGGCUCAACCGUGGAAGUGCAUCUGAAACUGGUAGGCUUGAGUACUGGAGAGGAAAGUGGAAUUCCCGGUGUAGAGGUGAAAUUCGUAGAUAUCGGGAGGAACACCUGUGGCGAAGGCGACUUUCUGGACAGAUACUGACGCUGAGGCGCGAAAGCGUGGGGAGCAAACAGGAUUAGAUACCCUGGUAGUCCACAGCUGUAAACGAUGUGCACUAGGUGUAGGGGGUGUUGACCCUUUCUGUGCCGCAGCUAACGCAUUAAGUGCACCGCCUGGGGAGUACGGUCGCAAGAUUA